UAGGGAAUCUUGCGCAAUGGGCGAAAGCCUGACGCAGCCAUGCCGCGUGAAUGAUGAAGGUCUUAGGAUUGUAAAAUUCUUUCACCGGGGAAGAUAACGACGGUACCCGGAGAAGAAGCCCCGGCUAACUUCGUGCCAGCAGCCGCGGUAAUGCGAAGGGGGCUAGCGUUGCUCGGAAUUACUGGGCGUAAAGGGCGCGUAGGCGGAUAUUUAAGUUGGGGGUGAAAGCCCGGGGCUCAACCUCGGAAUAGCCUUCAAUACUGGAUAUCUUGAGUUCGGGAGAGGUGAGUGGAAUGCCGAGUGUAGAGGUGAAAUUCGUAGAUAUUCGGCGGAACACCAGUGGCGAAGGCGACUCACUGGCCCGAUACUGACGCUGAGGCGCGAAAGCGUGGGGAGCAAACAGGAUUAGAUACCCUGGUAGUCCACGCCGUAAACGAUGAGUGCUAGUUGUCGGCAUGCAUGCAUGUCGGUGACGCAGCUAACGCAUUAAGCACUCCGCCUGGGGAGUACGGUCGCAAGAUUAAAAACUCAAAUGAAUUGACGGGGGUCAUAGCUGUUUCCUG
rnacentral:rRNA from 1 species